rnacentral:rRNA from 1 species
CGGGACACGUGGUAUCCUGUCUGAAUAUGGGGGGACCAUCCUCCAAGGCUAAAUACUCCUGACUGACCGAUAGUGAACCAGUACCGUGAGGGAAAGGCGAAAAGAACCCCGGCGAGGGGAGUGAAAAAGAACCUGAAACCGUGUACGUACAAGCAGUGGGAGCACAGAGCAAUCUGUGUGACUGCGUACCUUUUGUAUAAUGGGUCAGCGACUUAUAUUCUGUAGCAAGGUUAACCGAAUAGGGGAGCCGAAGGGAAACCGAGUCUUAACUGGGCGUUAAGUUGCAGGGUAUAGACCCGAAACCCGGUGAUCUAGCCAUGGGCAGGUUGAAGGUUGGGUAACACUAACUGGAGGACCGAACCGACUAAUGUUGAAAAAUUAGCGGAUGACUUGUGGCUGGGGGUGAAAGGCCAAUCAAACCGGGAGAUAGCUGGUUCUCCCCGAAAGCUAUUUAGGUAGCGCCUCGUGAAUUCAUCUCCGGGGGUAGAGCACUGUUUCGGCAAGGGGGUCAUCCCGACUUACCAACCCGAUGCAAACUGCGAAUACCGGAGAAUGUUAUCACGGGAGACACACGGCGGGUGCUAACGUCCGUCGUGAAGAGGGAAACAACCCAGACCGCCAGCUAAGGUCCCAAAGUCAUGGUUAAGUGGGAAACGAUGUGGGAAGGCCCAGACAGCCAGGAUGUUGGCUUAGAAGCAGCCAUCAUUUAAAGAAAGCGUAAUAGCUCACUGGUCGAGUCGGCCUGCGCGGAAGAUGUAACGGGGCUAAACCAUGCACCGAAGCUGCGGCAGCGACGCUGAUGCGUUGUUGGGUAGGGGAGCGUUCUGUAAGCCUGUGAAGGUGUGCUGUGAGGCAUGCUGGAGGUAUCAGAAGUGCGAAUGCUGACAUAAGUAACGAUAAAGCGGGUGAAAAGCCCGCUCGCCGGAAGACCAAGGGUUCCUGUCCAACGUUAAUCGGGGCAGGGUGAGUCGACCCCUAAGGCGAGGCCGAAAGGCGUAGUCGAUGGGAAACAGGUUAAUAUUCCUGUACUUGGUGUUACUGCGAAGGGGGGACGGAGAAGGCUAUGUUGGCCGGGCGACGGUUGUCCCGGUUUAAGCGUGUAGGCUGGUUUUCCAGGCAAAUCCGGAAAAUCAAGGCUGAGGCGUGAUGACGAGGCACUACGGUGCUGAAGCAACAAAUGCCCUGCUUCCAGGAAAAGCCUCUAAGCAUCAGGUAACAUCAAAUCGUACCCCAAACCGACACAGGUGGUCAGGUAGAGAAUACCAAGGCGCUUGAGAGAACUCGGGUGAAGGAACUAGGCAAAAUGGUGCCGUAACUUCGGGAGAAGGCACGCUGAUAUGUAGGUGAAGUCCCUCGCGGAUGGAGCUGAAAUCAGUCGAAGAUACCAGCUGGCUGCAACUGUUUAUUAAAAACACAGCACUGUGCAAACACGAAAGUGGACGUAUACGGUGUGACGCCUGCCCGGUGCCGGAAGGUUAAUUGAUGGGGUCAGCGCAAGCGAAGCUCUUGAUCGAAGCCCCGGUAAACGGCGGCCGUAACUAUAACGGUCCUAAGGUAGCGAAAUUCCUUGUCGGGUAAGUUCCGACCUGCACGAAUGGCGUAAUGAUGGCCAGGCUGUCUCCACCCGAGACUCAGUGAAAUUGAACUCGCUGUGAAGAUGCAGUGUACCCGCGGCAAGACGGAAAGACCCCGUGAACCUUUACUAUAGCUUGACACUGAACAUUGAGCCUUGAUGUGUAGGAUAGGUGGGAGGCUUUGAAGUGUGGACGCCAGUCUGCAUGGAGCCGGCCUUGAAAUACCACCCUUUAAUGUUUGAUGUUCUAACGUUGACCCGUGAUCCGGGUUGCGGACAGUGUCUGGUGGGUAGUUUGACUGGGGCGGUCUCCUCCUAAAGAGUAACGGAGGAGCACGAAGGUUGGCUAAUCCUGGUCGGACAUCAGGAGGUUAGUGCAAUGGCAUAAGCCAGCUUGACUGCGAGCGUGACGGCGCGAGCAGGUGCGAAAGCAGGUCAUAGUGAUCCGGUGGUUCUGAAUGGAAGGGCCAUCGCUCAACGGAUAAAAGGUACUCCGGGGAUAACAGGCUGAUACCGCCCAAGAGUUCAUAUCGACGGCGGUGUUUGGCACCUCGAUGUCGGCUCAUCACAUCCUGGGGCUGAAGUAGGUCCCAAGGGUAUGGCUGUUCGCCAUUUAAAGUGGUACGCGAGCUGGGUUUAGAACGUCGUGAGACAGUUCGGUCCCUA